rfam:Domibacillus iocasae strain DSM 29979 DSM29979_contig_4, whole genome shotgun sequence.
UGUGACAAGGGCAAACUUGCUGAAAAGCAAGGACGCAAAGCUACAGGUCCUAAAGUGGAUAUCUGCUUGGAUGGCUGUGCUGCCGAAA